rnacentral:rRNA from 1 species
GACGAACGCUGGCGGCGUGCUUAACACAUGCAAGUCGAACGGUGAAGCAGGAGCUUGCUCUUGUGGAUCAGCGGCGAACGGGUGAGUAACACGUGAGUAACCUGCCCUUGACUCUGGGAUAAGCGUUGGAAACGACGUCUAAUACCGGAUACGAACUGAGACCGCAUGGUCAUUAGUUGGAGAGAAUUUUGGUCAAGGAUGGACUCGCGGCCUAUCAGCUUGUUGGUGAGGUAAUGGCUCACCAAGGCGACGACGGGUAGCCGGCCUGAGAGGGUGACCGGCCACACUGGGACUGAGACACGGCCCAG